UUGAACGCUGGCGGCAGGCCUAACACAUGCAAGUCGAGCGGUAGCACAGAGAGCUUGCUCUCGGGUGACGAGCGGCGGACGGGUGAGUAAUGUCUGGGAAACUGCCUGAUGGAGGGGGAUAACUACUGGAAACGGUAGCUAAUACCGCAUAACGUCGCAAGACCAAAGUGGGGGACCUUCGGGCCUCAUGCCAUCAGAUGUGCCCAGAUGGGAUUGGCUAGUAGGUGGGGUAACGGCUCACCUAGGCGACGAUCCCUAGCUGGUCUGAGAGGAUGACCAGCCACACUGGAACUGAGACACGGUCCAGACUCCUACGGGAGGCAGCAGUGGGGAAUAUUGCACAAUGGGCGCAAGCCUGAUGCAGCCAUGCCGCGUGUGUGAAGAAGGCCUUCGGGUUGUAAAGCACUUUCAGCGGGGAGGAAGGCGGUGAGGUUAAUAACCUCAUCGAUUGACGUUACCCGCAGAAGAAGCACCGGCUAACUCCGUGCCAGCAGCCGCGGUAAUACGGAGGGUGCAAGCGUUAAUCGGAAUUACUGGGCGUAAAGCGCACGCAGGCGGUCUGUCAAGUCGGAUGUGAAAUCCCCGGGCUCAACCUGGGAACUGCAUUCGAAACUGGCAGGCUAGAGUCUUGUAGAGGGGGGUAGAAUUCCAGGUGUAGCGGUGAAAUGCGUAGAGAUCUGGAGGAAUACCGGUGGCGAAGGCGGCCCCCUGGACAAAGACUGACGCUCAGGUGCGAAAGCGUGGGGAGCAAACAGGAUUAGAUACCCUGGUAGUCCACGCCGUAAACGAUGUCGAUUUGGAGGUUGUGCCCUUGAGGCGUGGCUUCCGGAGCUAACGCGUUAAAUCGACCGCCUGGGGAGUACGGCCGCAAGGUUAAAACUCAAAUGAAUUGACGGGGGCCCGCACAAGCGGUGGAGCAUGUGGUUUAAUUCGAUGCAACGCGAAGAACCUUACCUGGUCUUGACAUCCACAGAACUUUCCAGAGAUGGAUUGGUGCCUUCGGGAACUGUGAGACAGGUGCUGCAUGGCUGUCGUCAGCUCGUGUUGUGAAAUGUUGGGUUAAGUCCCGCAACGAGCGCAACCCUUAUCCUUUGUUGCCAGCGGUUAGGCCGGGAACUCAAAGGAGACUGCCAGUGAUAAACUGGAGGAAGGUGGGGAUGACGUCAAGUCAUCAUGGCCCUUACGACCAGGGCUACACACGUGCUACAAUGGCAUAUACAAAGAGAAGCGACCUCGCGAGAGCAAGCGGACCUCAUAAAGUAUGUCGUAGUCCGGAUUGGAGUCUGCAACUCGACUCCAUGAAGUCGGAAUCGCUAGUAAUCGUAGAUCAGAAUGCUACGGUGAAUACGUUCCCGGGCCUUGUACACACCGCCCGUCACACCAUGGGAGUGGGUUGCAAAAGAAGUAGGUAGCUUAACCUUCGGGAGGGCGCUUACCACUUUGUGAUUCAUGACUGGGGUG
rnacentral:rRNA from 1 species